GUAGAAUUGAUGAACUAUGUGUGUUUCAAGAGCCAGACUUUUGGUUUCAGUUGCCAGUUCCUCUACUUUUUCAAGCUAAAAUAAACCACUCAGUGACCAACAUAGGUUUAAACCAUUCUUUCUCCUUUCAUACUAACACCAGUCUAGUGUGUGAAAAUGUAUCUAUGUGUCAUCAUAAACCUGAUGAUUACUGACCUGGAACCAGGAAACACUGAAACUCCCUUCAUAGGAACAUUACAAAUAAACGCAGGUUUUUAUUCUGACCUUCAUUUACAUAUUCCAUUGCAGUAUGGGUCAUACACGUGGACAUAUGGAGUUUUUUUCCAUUCAGCAGAUGAAUUUGAUUUGAAUUUAGAUACUAAAUGAACGGCAUAUUUAAUGUUUUUCAGUGUCAGUUUCCUGAACAUACUAGAGCCACCAUUCACAGGCUUUUACUGUAAGCAGAAUUAAUGGCGUUUAUUAGUUGUGACCUUUAGCAUAGAUUUGCAGUUUUAUGGCCAUACUCUACCAACUCCUUGGCCUAGUAGGCUCCCAGAUAGCAAAAGAUAUUAAUUCAACAUUGGAUUUUGGUUAGAUUGGUUAUUUUUGGUUGAGGUUGAAAAAUCAAUGUUGAUUCGAUGUGUUUUUACAAAUACCAUUUCAACGUUUGAAAAAAUGUUGUUGAAUCAAUGUAAUAUAGAUGCCGGUUUUUCAACGUUGAAAUUCCCUACAUUGAAUUGACAUUGUUUCAACGUGUGGCGCUAUCCCCUCUCGGGCGAGAUCAUGACCCAGCGUCGGAGGCGGGGUCUGGUUCUUUCCUAUGAGAGCUGCUGUGCAUGAAGACAAAAUGGCCCAAUUUUUGAGAGAGCGAAACGUCACAGAUUACCCGUCAUGCCUGUUGCACAUUGCACUUAAUCUUGAAAGCACGUUGGUCACGUGAAAGAGCGUACACCUCAGGGUGUGGAGGAAGGCAGGCAGUUCAGUUGCCGCCAAGCCGCCUGAAGAGAAGAGACAGAUAUCACAAAUCGGAUUAUACUACAAGACGAGUCAAGGGGAUCACUGCAAUACACAAGGCCAAGUAAAAAUGGAAAGGGAGGUGGUGCUUUGGGCCGUUGUACUUUUUCCAAAUGGCGGAGCUGCAACAGUUCUUGCCAGCUGGUUCAGUCUAAAGGAAGGUAAAUUGUUAUGGCCCCCAAAAAACAUGUAUUUGAAGGCCCUUAAAGAACACAUGACGGCCCAUAUAGGAUGGACCACAUAUGC